rfam:Maricaulis maris MCS10, complete genome.
GGGCCUGUAGCUCAAUUGGUUAGAGCCGGCGGCUCAUAACCGCUUGGUUGGGGGUUCGAGUCCCUCCGGGCCCA